rnacentral:rRNA from 1 species
CAGUAGCCGCGGUAAAACGGAGGAUCCAAGCGUUAUCCGGAAUCAUUGGGUUUAAAGGGUCCGUAGGCGGUCUUGUAAGUCAGUGGUGAAAGCCCAUCGCUCAACGGUGGAACGGCCAUUGAUACUGCAGGACUUGAAUUAUUGGGAAGUAACUAGAAUAUGUAGUGUAGCGGUGAAAUGCUUAGAGAUUACAUGGAAUACCAAUUGCGAAGGCAGGUUACUACCAAUUGAUUGACGCUGAUGGACGAAAGCGUGGGUAGCAAACAGGAUUAGAUACCCGUGUAGUCCCUGUCUCUUAUAC